rnacentral:rRNA from 1 species
AGUUUGAUCCUGGCUCAGGAUGAACGCUAGCUACAGGCUUAACACAUGCAAGUCGAGGGGUAACGACAGCGAAAGCUUGCUUUGCUGGGCGACGACCGGCGCACGGGUGAGUAACGCGUAUCCAACCUGCCCAUAACUAAGGGAUAAUCCGUAGAAAUGCGGUCUAAUACCUUAUGUGUUCCGACGAAGACAUCUGAAUUGGAAUAAAGAUUUAUCGGUUAUGGAUGGGGAUGCGUCUGAUUAGAUUGUUGGCGGGGCAACGGCCCACCAAGUCUGCGAUCAGUAGGGGUUCUGAGAGGAAGGUCCCCCACAUUGGAACUGAGACACGGUCCAAACUCCUACGGGAGGCAGCAGUGAGGAAUAUUGGUCAAUGGGCGAGAGCCUGAACCAGCCAAGUAGCGUGCAGGACGACGGCCCUAUGGGUUGUAAACUGCUUUUGUAUGGGAAUAAAGUGCUCCACGUGUGGAGUUUUGUAGGUACCAUACGAAUAAGGACCGGCUAAUUCCGUGCC